UCCCACACACACUCUCUCUCUCUCUCUCUUUUAAAAAAAAGAUUUGUUUUAUGUAAUAGAAGUAUAAGAAAUAAGUUCAUAUUCUUUAAAUUCAUGAUGAAAUAUAUGCUUAUUUUGUAUUGGGUUUUAAAUUUCUGGGAAAUUCAAAAUAUUAAUGAAAAGGACUCUGGUGAUGACGGCAAACUCUUAAUUCCAGAUUCCUCUCUUUGAGGAGAUACAACAUGGUUCAUUUCUCAUCAUGAUAAAAAAAGAAAAAAAAAACCAGAAUGUCAUGUUGAGAGCUGUCUUAGUUUGCAGAAUAAAGUCAGAUCUUCCAGUAAAUUUGUUAAAAGUCAGCAAUCCUCCUUUAUUAUUCCAGCUACCAAAGACUUCAUUUUAAAAUUCAGGAGGCAAAGGAGAUUUUCUUUACCAGCCAGUUCAUGUUGCUAGCCCUUUCAGAAUAUUUUAUUAUCUUGUUUCCAUUAUUCCCAGUGGUGAGUGAUUUGUUGUUUCUUUUGACCACUCAUCAAGUAAUAAUUGAUAAUCAGAAAUCUUCAUGUAAUAUUUAGGAUAAAUUUUUAUCUUUUCCUAAUUGAAUACUCAUGGAUUUUGAUAACUGAGUAAAAUUUCUCUUUGCUUUUCUGCCUUAAAGUUCUUUUGGAUUGCAAUCCUACUUUUACAAUUAGCUUUCUUUCUGCUCAUUGAUCAGUGUUUCCAUUAUAAUAUUUUUCCAUUUCUUUUUCCUGUUUCUGAGAUAACUGAAAAGUGAAUGCACUGAUUCUUAUAAAAUCUAUUUAGGUAUCAUUUGCUCUUAUGAAAACCUAAAUAUUUGUCUCUCUCCCUUUGUCUUGAUUACCAAAAUUAUUGCAGAUGCAUAAUAAAUUUUCAAAUUCUCAAUCUCCUUGAUUUCUCCUUUCCAGCUUUUAGAAAUUUGUUUAUCUAAUUUCAAGGCUUUACAUUUUUAAAUUACUCAUUUACAUUCAUCUAUUGUUUUUCCCUAUUCCAUUUUAAAUUUAUGUUUAUAUGUAAAUGCUUCUAUUGUUUCUGACACUUUCCAACUUAGUCUCAUUUUCAAGUAAUGAACAACUUUUACCUGCUUCGCUUCUAUCUUCAUGCUUAAUAAAUAUUAUAAUUGUUAAAUGUACAGUUUCAUAGAGGAAAACAGUUCUGUGGUUUUUCCAACAAUAAAAUAAAACGUAUUGUGACUUUUUCAAGCAUUAUUUUCUUAAGACAGUUUUGUUCUAAUUAUGUUCUUCCCGAGAUGAUACUAACAUUAAUUCACAAUCCCCUGAGCAGUAUGCCCACCAAGGAUAGAUAUAUGCAGGUGUUAAAAGUUGAGCAUGGGGCUGGGAUUGUGGCUCAGUGGUAGAGCACUUGCCUGACAAGUGUGGGGCACUGGGUUCGAUCCUCAACACCACAUAUAAAUAACUAAAUAGAUAGAUAGAUACAUACAUAAAGAUUGUGUCCAUCUACAACUAAAUAUUUUUUUUAAAGUUGAACAUGUAUAACUCAUGAAUAUUUGCAAAGAAAACUGAAGCUAACUCAGACACUUAUCAUUAUUUACCAUCACAACUUUUUGUCUGACCUUUCAACCAUAUAUUUAGCUGGGUAAUGACACUAAUUGUAUAAAUUAAAAUUUAAUGCUAUGAACAGUUUUUAAAUAUUCACUUUUGGUUUUUGUUUUAGUGCUGGUAUUUUACAAUCUGAUGUAGUUGGUUCAAUAUUCCUUUAUGAACAAUACUGUUUUAUGCAAUUUGAUUUUACUUCUACAAACUUUAUAAACACAUAAUUUCUAAUUUAUCUUAAUGUAGUCAGUAAAAUCUGUCUCAUAUUAAGAAACUAAAGGUACAAAAAUACACUUAUUCUGUUGACUUUGGGCAACUUAAUGUUCUCCCCAAAUCUGCCGUUGGUUUCCCUCUAAUAUUUUAAUAAUGUCCCAUAGAGGAAGCCUACUUGGUAUGAUUUGGUCUCUAGGCUAGUGUUUGAAGGACAGUGUUUUAUGGAUUGUGUAACUAGUUCUUUGAAUGCAUUUUUUUUUGUAUUAGGAAUAGUUUUAAAAACAACUAAAAAGAUUCUUUUCUUCAAAAUACGCAUUUAUUUAAAAUUUAAGAUAGGCAGCAUUGGUUAAUCCUUCAGGGAUAUAUAUAAACACACAGGUGGAUUCACUCAUGCAAGCACUUGUUGUUAGCUAACUGAUGGUUUUCUCAAAACAACCUAUUAUGUUGCUUUUGUGUCAAAGUAAAAAUUUUUUUGAGACUGGAACAUAGAGUGUAAUUUCCUAUCAUGGUAAUAGGCUAGAAAAGGUCUCCAGAGAGGGAAUAGAGAGUAACAGAGAAAGCAAUGAACUUGGGGUUGGGUUAGAAGGUCUGCCACACAAGUCUCAAAAACUAAAUGUACUCUUGGCUUUGUCUAAUCCAUGCAGAAGAGGGCAAGCUAAAUUGUUUUGUACUUUCUUUCUAUUUUUUAAAAUUAUGUGAUUUUUAGGUACCUUUUGGAUUAUUUUAGGCUAGCUUGGCAUUCACUUGUAUUGUUCUUUCUCUUCUGAAGGACUCAAGUACCCUUUCUCAAUCAUAAUGUUCAUCUUAAAUUUUGUACCAUCAAUCUUUAGACUUUCAUAUUUCUUUUUUCAGUAAACAUUUGUUGACCGUAUUUUGUGUGCAGGUACUGUACAAAACCAGAGAAGAGCAGAGAUAGAUAAGAUGUGCUUCCUAUCCACAAGUAAUGACAAGUGCUCCAAUAAAGGAAUGAGUGAAGUAGCAUGAUAAUUCAAAUGAGAAACUCACUAAUUCUGCUUUGAGGGAGCCAAAAGGAUGGCGUAGGAGGAGGUGGCGUUUGAAUGGAUCUAGGAAGAUGUACUUGGAAAUGGGGCUGAGAAGGAAACUGAGGCACCUGUAGGCCCAUGUUGGAGCAUGUGCACAGUGAAACAGGUGGGAAGAUGCGUGGUAUUUGACAGAAUUCAGGAAUGAGUUUCAUUUUCCAGGACUAAAUCUUGGGAAAAACAUUGUGGAGCAUGGCAUUGCCUAGACAGAAGAAUAGGCAAGAAUUGUCAGGAAGUGAAAUGAGAGACUAGGGGAUUAGGAGAUAACCAACACUCCCCUGGUUUUCUUCGCAAGUUGAAGGAUAACAGAGGUUGUUUUUGAACUCAAGUAUAUUGAAGUUUGCUUGCAGGUCUCCCAAUAAUAGUUAGGUAGAACAAUUAGAACAAUAGUCUGUGUUCAUUGAGCAUUUACUUUGCAUUUGUUUAUUCUAAUGUCCAAGUCCAGUGUUUAGUUAGGAAAUUUUACCAAUAUUUUUUUUUUCUGAGAACCUAGCAAAAUCUGUAUAGAACAAGCAUUUUUUAAAAAUUAUUUUGUUUGGCUAUAACAUAGUUAAUCAGUACUAAGGAUUAAGUUUAUGAUAGGAACUCAGAUAUUUUUAAUAAUAGGCAAUGUACUCUUCACAUAUAAAAUAUCACAUUUAACCUAGAAAUUCCAAAUCAAACCAUUUUAGACAACUGAAAGAAUAAAAUGGGAUGAUGACUUAGGAAACUGCUUUUUGUAAACUUUAAAGAUCUAAAUUAUUGUGAAUAAUUAAGAAUACUAGGAAAAAUACAGUUAAACUUUAUGUCUGACUCUUGGCCUUCUCCCUGAACAAUUACAGGGAAGGGGAAGAACUGUGUGUCAACUUGGAAUCAGAUUCUCAGUUUUGUGCCAUUUAAUUUAGACACUUAUUUUAAUGUAAGCACUUUUGCUUUUACUUUGACAAUCAGUAUGCAAUUUUAAUUAGCACUUGGAACACAGCAGAAUACAUUGAUGAGGCACAAGGCAUGAAGAAAUACGUUCCUAAUGGCCUGCUUGAGGACUCUGGCAGCAUUCAAAAAAGACACUCUCAAUAUAAUGUGCGAUACUUCUGAGAAAUCAUCCUCAUUGGCAUUUAUACUCAUACGUUUAAUCAUUUCAGUGUUUUGAAAUGUCAAAAUAUUGGCAUUAGCAGCUUUGUUAUCUAUGCUACACUCAGAAUAUUAAUUUCUCAAGUUUAUUCUGAUGCAACAAUUGAGGUAUAAGAAAACUUAUUUCCUACAUCUGCCCAGAAUUCUUUCCAACUUUGCCGAUCAAUCUCUUAUACCAUCUCUAAGCCCUAGCUGCCUCACCCCAUCACAGUCUUCCUUCACUUCCCUUUUUCCCUAGGCCAUUCUCUUCAGAAUAUACCCAUUGCCAUGCAACUACAACUGCAGACUACCCUGUUGUAAUUAUUUCUUUAAUCAUUCUCUCCUGUUGACUCUCAAUGCUGUACUUGUAGGAACUGUGUCGCCAUAUCUGUGUUUUGGUUGAAAGGCACAGUGCAGUGGAAUAGAAAGAGCAUGCAUUUAUAGUUAUGCUGUUAUAGACUGAAUACUAACUGCUGCUUACUUGCUCUGGAGACUGGAGCAAAUUACUUAACUUCUUUGAGCUUCUUUAAAUAAGGAUAAUGAUACCUAUUAUGUAGGAUUAUUGUGAAGAUUAAAUAAGCUUCGUGCAAAAAUGUAUAGAGAUGUUCUGUUAGUCAUUGGUAAUUACAAGUAGUACAGCCCUUGUUACUAGGGUUAUAAAGGUGAAUAAGCCAUGACUUCAUCCUAAGGACUUCAUAAUUUAGUAGGAAAGAGGUCAGAAAAUGGACAAUUGCAUUAUAAUUCUCUUUUUUUUUUUGCAAUAUAAUUUUUGAUGGCGAUGACAUGGUCCUUAGAGUAAUCUUAUGAGUGGAGAAAGACAGACUCAGCUGCAUGUGCCCAAGAAGAGUGAGAAAGAAGCAAAGAAGUGGAGACAACACACCUACAACACAGAGAUCACACAGCUCCAAAGGUUAGCUUUAUUUUAUGAGGCUGGAGAGGUUCCAGGACUGCAAUAACCUUAAAAGAAGCUUGUCGGCUUGUGCAGUGGCCAAGAUCAGCUGCCGAAUCUCCGGGGCAUGAAGAAAGGACCAUCUCUUUCAGUCCCUCUUUGCUCUCAGCUAACGUUCUCCUCCUUCCACCCUGUUCUGACCCUGUUUUUGUUCUUCUUGUUCUGCCUUCAGGAUAAAAUGCAAGACAAUUUUGUUGGCUGUUCUUAAGUCAAGUGUGUUUGUUUGACCUCUGAGGAAAUGAUUUCUGGGCACAUGAAUAAAAUAAAGGUGGAUUGAGCUAUUCUAUCCUGCAGCUUUCCCUGACAGGCUCUCCAAGCCUCUCUCUUCCUCUGCAGUGUCCUAAUUGCUCUGAUGGACCACCGUCUCUGGAUUUAGCCCUGGAACUCUGUGGGCAUGGGCCACUGGGGACAGUGAGGGUCUGGAGAGGCUGAGGAAAACCAGAGAUGGCCUGCUUUUGUUUCCUGGCACCACAUCUCUAACCUGUUUGAGUUGAAGUUAUGUAAACUAGACUGAGGAAGAAUCAGACGUAUUGUGUAUAAAUGUCAUCCCCAAAGUUGAAGUGUACAUUAAACACUAUAGUAAUAUGACCCAUCAGCCACUUUAAAAUGAACUUUAACGUCCCAUGGUGGUAGAAUUUUGGAAAAAAGGAAAGGAAAAGAAAUUCUCAACCCUUCCCCAUGCUCUCCUUCUCUCUUUGACACUGUGUCCUUCAGUUCCUUGACCUAGUUCCCUGCCAGAGAAUGGGGUGGGAGCCAUCUGGUCUUGGUUCAUGGUCCUCACAGGUCCUCCCUGUACAGCCCCAUCAGGCUGAGUGAUUCUGUUUCUGUUUCCCUCCAAACUCCCUGGCUUGGAGCACAGGCUCAUGCAGGGAUGCUGAUGGAGCGCGCUGCCUAGGGGAUUAUGGCCUCCUGGCCAUUCCUGGCCUGAGUCUUCCCUGCUCUACUGGAAUGGCUGACACCCUAGUGUUUUUUCCCCCUUUUCCUCACAUUCCUAUAGGGCAAGGCAGGAGGGGAGCAGUGAAUGUCAGAUGAACAGGCUUUCAUUUUCUGUUCUUCUCACCUGUCCCCUGUGUCUGUGAGCCCACAUGUGCAUACAGGCCCCAUUGGGGGAACCCCAGAGCAGGGACACCAUGAAUUGUCUUCAGGCAGCAUCUGCCAUACAAGCCAAGGCACUCAUGGAGAAGACAGUCUCCCCGAAGAGCUAGCACUGUGAUAAAAUAUGUAUAACUUAAAUAAACAGUAUUGGCUAAUGACAAAGAAUCCUGGCAAGACUAGGCCACUAGAGGUAGAAUCUAUUGACAGUCUGGUGAAGUCGGUAGAACAUAGGAAAUGUGCUCUUCUUACCCUAAUGUAAUUGCUUCCCCUGCCAGAUCACACAGCUUUUGGGGAAGUGGUGUCUUGUUUGUGCUUCCCGUUUCCUGUAAGCUUAUCACUUCCUCCUGGCCACUCCCUUCUUGAACUCUAUUGUAUCCCCCUGUCUAGCCAUUCCCUGUCUCUUCCCUGCCAUCAAUCAGGAUUCUUUCCCAUCAUACCCCAGAACUAGGAAAGCAACUUGGAGGUGGAGCAGACACUGGGAGGUUACUUUGCUUGGGGAUUUGUUCCUUGCUUUGACUUCCUCCUGUGGCUUUGUCUUUGUAAAACAUCGCCUUUGGAUUUCUGCCAAGCUGUUUUCAUUGCUUUUUAAAAUUUAAUUUUAUUAGGCUAUACUAACUUUGAUUGUAAAAACUCCUUAUUAGAAACUGUACAAAAAAAAUAGCAUCUAUAACUAAUCGGGAAGAAGGCUGGAUUUGUGCCCAUGUAGAUGAAGAACCUGAUAUGACAGUUAUAUCCACUUAAUACGUCAGUUUGGUAUCAACCCACAGGAAUAUGAACACAUCCCUAAAGCCCGACAAAUCAAUUCUUCCCAAUUAUAUUUCUUAUCCAUCUUCAAAAUGAAAGACAAAUUCCCUCUCUGUAUUUUUAAUAAUCAGACUGAUAAUCUCUCUCUAGGAUUUAUUGUGCCUCAAUGUGUUGAAACUAUUUGGAUUAGAUUUUCCCAAGGUAACCACAUGAAAUCCUCCUUUGCCUAUACCCAUUAUCAAUACUGAAAUCCAAAUAGAUUCUCCCAGAUCCUGAAGCAAACUCUCUACCUAAAUUCUGUAAUUAGGAGUGCUGCCUGCUCCAUAGCUUUUAAGGAACCUGAGGGGGCAAGAGGUCUGAUACUUGCCCAUGCCAAGAACCUCAUAAUUUAACUUUGUCCUUAAAAGAAAUAGGAAUUUAUUACCAAAGUGGCUUGGACUUUUUUAGUUGUAGAUGGAUACAAUACCUUUGUUGUACAAGAAUUGCCCCCAAUCAGAAUGGUCACUGUGGAUUAGGACUGGUGACUCCUAAUAUUCACAUACAAAACAAACAAAAAAACAAAACCUGCAAAACCACUAAUUUGGUUCAUUUGUUAAUAAAAUAAUUCCACAUCAGAGAAAUCUAAGCAGUGUAGUGCUAACCCUCUUACUACAUGCAUUUCUGGGUUUCUCUCUCUCAUCAGAGCAUCCAUCCUUCCAUUGUUAAUUCUGAAUUAGAAGAGGCUACUAAACAUGUCUCUAAGACUUUAGAAAAAAACUUUAAUGACUUUUCUCCAAGCUUUGCAAACUGAGUUCUCUAACCUGCUUCAGUAAAUUUGCAAAAUAACAAGUCUUAGAUACCCCAUUGAUUCAACAGAGUGGUUUGUGUGCAGUUAUUAGAAAAAAAAAAGUUUCUUCUGUGUUCAUAAGUCAGGGAUUGUUGUCAAAAAUUUAAGAGCUUAAAGAACAGAUACAAGUUUUUCAUCAAAUAGGGGAUGUCACUUCCACUGAUUCCUUGAAAUCAGUGGGAAUUUCUGCUCCAGGGAGGUUUCCAGUCAUUCUCCUCCUAAUCACUGUACUUCCUUCUAGCAUGCCUGGCAUCCUCUCGUGGGGUUUUAAAUGCUUUCCAGUAGCCAUUCCCACACCAGAUGGUUACCAUCAGGAUAAACUACUUGAGGAACUUAGCCACCUGACCAGGGAUGGCCAUGGAGUUGCUGAUGACAGUGACAUCAACCUUUGUCCCAGUGCAACUAUUGAUGGUGAUAAUGUCAAAAUGACUCUCGUCCCAGGGUCUAUAUCCACUUCCUCAAUGGUGGUCAUUGAUGAUAACGCUGUGCCCCAUCUUGUCACACUCUCAGCUGGCUGAGAGAAUAACCAAAAUUGGGAGAUUGUUAAAGCAAAUAAAAAUGGAGAUAGUCCCGAAAAAUUCCCCCCAGGCAAGCCCGGUUAGGCCUUCAAAAUAACCUUAAUCUUGCUUAAAUUGUAAACAUAGUCAAAACUUAACUUGGGUCAUUAUUUAUAAAUGUGAGUAUUAGAGAAAAGCCAAACUUAAAUGCAACCAGUCAGAAGUGGCCACCUAACUUAAAUUAUAUAGCUAGGACUUUCCAGUGGGACUGUCCAAAUAAGGCAACUAUAACUGUAACCAAUCAAAUAUUUGCUUACUUUAUGCCUUCACUCUAUAGUGAAGCCUGUCUCUUGUAGUUCUUUGACAGAGCCAGACCUUUUUGGUUUGGGUGCUUCCCAAUUCAUGAAUUGUUGUUUGCUCAAAUAAACUCUUUACAAUUUUA